CGGUGAGGAACCUGCCUUUCAGAGGGGGACAACAGCUGGAAACGGCUGCUAAUACCGCAUGACGCAUUCGGAUGGCAUCAUCUGAAUGCCAAAGAUUUAUCGCUGAAAGAUGGCCUCGCGUCUGAUUAGAUAGUUGGCGGGGUAACGGCCCACCAAGUCGACGAUCAGUAGCCGGACUGAGAGGUUGACCGGCCACAUUGGGACUGAGAUACGGCCCAG
rnacentral:rRNA from 1 species